AACUAUCAUUUUAAAAUUACGACUCAUUGUAGAAUGAUGUUAAGUAACACUCUUUCUCCCCAGCUAUCAAUGAUGUUAAGUAUUCUGCAAGCUUCCUCUCUCUCAUUCUGCAAGCUUUUCCAGAAACCAUCUUCCACCCCGUCGAAAAUCGUCUCUGGCGGCGGUGGAGUCCCAGACUCAUAAUAAACCCACUAUUCAACUCCUCUCUUCAUCUCCUUUCUAACCUCACCCUUUAAAUUACCAAAACCCUAGAGAAAACCCUCUGAUUCACUCAUGGAACCGAAACCCUACAUGUCUCUAAGUAUAAAUAAGCUCCAAACAUUGAGUAGAUUAAGAAAAUAAAGGGGAAAUCGUGCCAGCAUGAAGAAUUUAAUCACAUAGUAUGGUGAUUUGGCGUAAAGGAUAAAAGAGAAGUUGGUUUCGAUGCUUACCUAUCGGAGACGCUCCGAUGGCUCUUCAAUGGUGGUGGUGACAGAGAAAGAAACCUAGAGAUGUUGCGAUAUCCAACUUGUAGCCAGCAAUGGAGUUCAGAAUCCAUAUAUUACUUACAACCGUUGAAUCGGUAGAUCUUGCCAAAACCUCUGCAGCAUGUCGCCUUUGGCUAAAAGUGGCACCCUUUUCCAAAUGAUUGCAAUUAGCAGGAACGUCAAGAUUGUAGAUUACGAGGGCUUGGUGCGGCCGCAUAUGAUGUGAUACAUAAUCAUCUACUAGUUCAAAUUCAAACAAAGCAUCUUCAAUAUCAGCAUUAUGGAAACACUUUCUUUCCUUUGCAUCACCAACAAAUUUUCUCCACACAGACUUAUUAUUAACCAAUGUUGUAGCAUUUCUUAUCAUCCAAAGGCAAUGCCUAGCCCUAGUGAUUGCAACAUUAGCUCUUUGUAUAUUGGAAAGAAAACCAAAAUUUCCACUCAUAUUUGAUCUAGUUGUUGAUAUGAUUAUAAUGUCUUCUUCACUUUGGUAUCAUUCUCUUUGUCAAUGAAGAAUUCACACAUUUUUCCUUGAAGCCUUUUUUCCUCUGGGUAUGGUCCUUGACCCGUAAAAGAGCUUCUUUUUCUGUUAAAUCUUCACGUACAACGUCCAUUUCGAUUACACUGGAGGAAGAGCAUUCUCCAGAAUUAUCCAUCUCAUUAUUUAAGGAAUCUGAAACAAGUGCCAUAUUUGACUUUGAAGAGGAACAAGUAAUAUUCGGUUGCCACGACAUGUUUUUCAUAUGGAUCACAAGGAAGUUGGCUAAUGAGUAUAUAUGAUUUCGCGUCCGCACCACUUUGUGAAGUGCGCGAAUGCUCUUUAGAUGAUGCGAUAGACCUACCACAUCGAAAGAUGUUCUGAGGUCUCGAGCCAAGGCAUUGAAAAUUCUAGGAACCAUCUUUCAAGGUGCUAAUGUUGCUUUUAGGCGAGAGAAUAGUCUGCGCCGAGAAAGCGAGAGUCGGGUAGAAGCUGGUCCUUCAUCAUAGUCAUCAUCUUCAAUAUGGUUAUGGACUGAGUUAAUCAUUUUUUCAUGUCUUUUUGGAUCUCAAUGAAAUUUGAACCUUAUGUAUUUUGUUAAAAGAAGGGAAGAAUCAAUUUGCAUGUAAGUUUCUAACUUAGUGUGUAAAGCAAUUAAUGACUUGUGUUAUUAUAACUUAAGUGUCCAUUCUAAAUUCGUAUUUCAUUAGGGAGAUGAUAAUGAUAUAUAGAUGGACAUUCUUUUUGUAACUUCCACACCUAUGAUGAAGCAAUUGUUUCUUUGGCACAAUGUUUCUACAGCUUUUAGAAUUCCUUCAGAGGUUAUGCUAGUGCAUGCCGGAAUAUGAAGCUCUUUAAUGGAAGGGUUUUGUUCUAUGACCCUUUGUAGUCCUUGAUUAGUGAUGUGGAUACAGUUCACAAGAGCAAGUUUUUGAAGUCUACCAUUGGCUUUGGAUGUGACGUUCAACAGAGUCUCGUUGGUGGUUCGAUAAUUGAGAAGAGUUUCGAUGAUAAUACAAAGCCAUGGCAAUACAUCAUUAUUUCCCUCCUCAAAAUAAUGGGCACCAACCUGCAGUUUCCCUUUUACUUCCGCCGAUUGUUGUUCAUCCUUUUUUUUCUUUUAUAUAAUUGUACAAUUUAAACUAAAUGUAAUGACGGAUUGAAAUGUAAUAUAAAAGACAAAGGGAUUAAUUACUAUACGCAGUUAGUAGUUAGUGUAAAAAGUUUUACACUAUCAAUUCAUCACCAUCACUCAUUUGCAUUACUUUAUAAAUUUUUAAAAUAAAAGUCAAACUUGUUUCAAUA